UACAGAGGGUGCGAGCGUUAAUCGGAAUUACUGGGCGUAAAGCGUGCGUAGACGGUUAUUUAAGUCGGGUGUGAAAGCCCCGGGCUCAACCUGGGAAUUGCAUUCGAGACUGAAUAGCUAGGGUACGGUAGAGGGAAGUGGAAUUUCCGGUGUAGCGGUGAAAUGCGUAGAUAUCGGAAGGAACAUCAGUGGCGAAGGCAGGUCUCUGGGCAUUAACUGACGCUGAGGAGCGAAAGCAUGGGGAGCGAACAGG
rnacentral:rRNA from 1 species